GGAUUUUAAUUUGAGUUGGGCUUCGGUGUCCAUUAGUUUAUGAUACGAUCGAUGGAAGUGGAUUUAAUUUCAAAACGGGUAGGUUGAAGGUUUUGGGUUGAGAUCUUAAGGUUGGGCUUCGGCGUUAUGAAUUUCAGAGUGAAAUUGUUUGCAAGCUUUCGUCCUUUUUUGGUUCUUCAUUUUUGCCCGAAGACUGGGCUUCAUUUUUCUCUCUGCAAAAGUGAUGAGUUUCUUCAGCAUUCAGAGGAUGUAGAUUACUGGGACAAUGAAAAAUUGGACAACAUGGGAAGUGAUUCUGACUAUGACUCAAACAGCAUUAGGGCGCCGUUGCUUCAUCGCUGGAGGUUGAAGAUGUGCAAGCUUCUGAAAUACAGUUGAAGAUCUCUGUUGUUAGAUUACUCCGUGGAUGGUCAACUGAAUCACUUUCUUUUGCUUGUAAUUGAGAGCUUAAAGGACUAACAUAUUUGUUAGAAACAAAUUUGGAGAAGGGGAUUCAAGGAGAUGCAGCUGACUUAAUGAAGAGGAGGAAUGCAUUUGGAUCAAACACAUACCCUAGAAAAAAAGGGAGGAGUGUUUUUUUGGUAAAUUCAUUACCAAUUUAUAUUUUUGCACUCAUUUUUUUUAUUAGAGCUAUUACCCUUUCUUUUGUUGAAGAAGAGAAUAUAAGCUAUUAUAUUGUUUUAUUUUGCUGUGUCUUAGAUGUUUCUUUAAUCUGUGUAACUCAUGGUGCUUUUGUUUCCCUGCAAGACAAUACUCUUCUUUUUGUUGCAGUCUAGAAUCAUGUGAGCCACGUCCUUCUUUCUUUCUAAAGAAACAAAGCAUUUUGAUUAAAGCAAAAAGUAUCCUGUGCAGAGUUGGCUUAUUAGUAAACAAAAAACAUGUUUGUGCUACAUAAAUUCAGUAUGUCAUAGCUAACGAUUCAAUGUGAGGUGAAUAUUUUCCUUCAUCAUAGCUGUCAUGAGUAGUAUACUUAUGAGGGACAGAUUGGUAUAAUGUUGUGUUAGUGUAAUUAAUUUUAAGCCUAUACACUUCCGAAUUCUUAAAAUGGUAUCAGGGCAGCACACCACCGAUUGCCAGUGACCACGAGUCCACGACCAACUGCUUCCUGACGCCAUUGACCAUGACCACAACCAAAAGAGUAGUCUUUGCUCUUGAUGGCGAUUGAGUGGAGUUUCCGAUCUUUGAGACACUGGAAUGCCAUCAUAAGGCUUGAUUCAUUUCAAGGCAAGUGGAGAUUCGUCAGGCAUGACUUGAAAUGCACGCCUCUAUUAGAUGCAAGAUCAGAUUUGUUUCUUCACACGUGUUGCACACCUUUCUAAAAUGCAAGAUUAAAUUUUUAUGUUUAGACUUUGGUUAAAUGCUUGACUUUCUUGCGUGGAUCAUUUUGCAGACAUUGGUUAUGUUUUCUUUUUUUGUUUUUUGUUUUUUUGGGUAGUAUAUAUAUGAGAUGUAGCUUGUUAUUCUGAGCGUGUGCAAAGAGCUGUGAAUUAAUUUGUAUUUGACUUGGUUUGUUGGUUGAGUUAAAGAAAAACUAUUUGGGUAUA